AAAAAAUAAAAUUAUAUUAUUUCAACUUCUAUCUUUUUACCUCAAUAAUUUUAAAUUUCCUAUCAUUUUCACUCCUUUCUCCCAGAAGAAAAGAUCUUCUCUGCCUCUGCUUUAUUAGUUUAUUUCUCCCAACAGCCCCAUCUUCCUACUCUCUUUCUUUCUUUUUAUUUCCUCUUCUUUCUUCUCUCCUUCUUCGCGUCCUUCUACCAACGCCACUGCCGAAUCAUUCUCCAGUUCAGCCUCCAGUCUCCAUUGCCAACGGAAGUAAUUAAAAUCUCUAUUCGGUCGUUCGGGCUCUCCGGCUUUCCGUGCUCCAGUUUGGCGUUUUGGUCUUUGGUUUUAGGGUGAUGUACAUUACAUAUUAUGCAAUGAAGAGCCACUUCGGGUGAGUUCAUGUCGUCCGCUUUAGUAUAAAGGACCAUGGAAGAGGACAUCACUGCAUUUUUAUGAACUGGAGUUUUAUGCUGUGCUUUUCGAUUAUCUAUGCAUUGGUCUUCGAGUUAUUGUAUUUUUUGAAUGCAGGGACUUAUUGAAUUUGAGUCCGAGGCCUGAAAAUAUUAUUGAGGGCCUUUUUGCUGCUUUUA